CCUGAAGACUAAAACAAUACCUGUUGUCAUAGGUCCCCUGGGAAUGAUAGCAAAAGGGGCUGAUUGCUACCUAGCUCAGAUACCAGGAAACCCCAAGAUGGCAGAAAUUCAAAAGAUAGUGCCCAUGGAACUGCCCAUAUACUACAUAAAAUACUGUCCGAGUAAUCUCAAAUUUUAAAACAAACUCAUAAUUUUUUUAAUGUUUUCUUAAACAUUCUCUAGAACAAUACUACGUACAAAACCUAAUAUUUGGCACUUUAACCAUAACACCUACAUGAACUUCUAAUUUGUUGUCUCUUGAGGUCUCUGGGUGAGACUUGGAGCCAACUUGUACAAAUGCAAAGCAAAAGUCAAAUAUAAAUAAAUAAAAAUACUAAUAAUAAAAACCUGGAUGUUA